GUCUUGGCACACCUUCCCACUUUUGCAAUAUCUGUCAGGGAAAUUUAUCAGUUCGUCCCCUUCCCCCCAGUUCAAUGUUGUUUAUCGUGAUGAAGUCGUCAUUGCCCGUUUACAACAUUGUCGGGGGAAGGGGGUUCCCUAUUCUAAUGAUGUCAUCAGGUAUUGUCCCCAAAAUGCCUUGUCAAUGCAUUUUCGUGCUAUCUGAUCCAGGUGUGCCAAGGACUUUUGUCGUGGAUUUUAGAAAGCUUCUCUGAAUUUGUGCAUGUAAGACACAGAAAAAAUUUUCGUCGUAGAAUAUUCGCUCAUAGAAAACUCGGGCUUGUAGUCUUGUUGUUUAAUUUUCAAUAAUAGAACCAAAAACGUGCGCUUUCCAAUUGAGGGAAUUUCCUCCGUUGUCACUCAACUACCCAUCCAGUUAGGGCGUACAUUAUAAACCAGACGUCUAGCCUGUUAUAUAACCGAGUCAUAUCGACAUUUUAUGAAUGGGUUAACUUUCAAUUAUGAAGGGUACUGGUUCGACCCUCGGACAGGCCAUUCUUUUUCUAGAGCAAUUGUGUAUAUGUUAUACGAGAGCCAUAGCAAAGAACUUGACGCCGCAAAAACGUCAGGGAGACUGGGUACCAGCUUUCAGCAGUAGGAACAACCAGCGUGGAUUACACAUUUUUUUCUUGAAAUAAAAAAAAAGAACUGUAUUGGGUCAAUAUUGAGCUUAGAUAAAAAGAACGUUCUUCAUAAAGAAACUGGGACGCCAUAUAGUGUUGAGCAAAAUAUGUCGGAACAUCGGAUAUCGCGAGCUAAAGUUUAAAAACCUUUUAUGAAAGUUCGUUAAGCCGGUGGAACUGGAUGCCAUGCCGGCGUUAUUUCCAGUCCAUAUAUACAGAAGGGAGCCGUGGUUUGAACAUAUGGUAUAUAUUGCCAGGAAUUAUUUGCUUUUUUUCCUUCACUGUAAGCAACGGGAUUUUGCGCUAUAGAAUAUAUAGAAAAUUUGGCGCGUAGGAAAGGUUUGGUCAAUUUGUUUCAGUGUGUAAAAAGAAGAAAACAAAUUCCUCCGUACGGCGAGACCGGGAUUCCAACUUGCGACUCUGCGAAUCUAAGAUUUGGCAGCGAGAAGCGUGCACUAAACCACUGCGCCAUCCGGCUUUGACACAACAAUACGUGUAAAAUUUGCAGAAAAAUACAUAACAGUUUUAACAGCGCGCACUGUGGUCAGCUGCAGGAACGUGGUCAGCUGCAGGAACGUAAGCAGCGCAUACAAGGUUACUUUUGUAGUGAAUGUUUUCUUGAUUAAAACUUUAUCUCGCGACCGCUCAUUAAAAAAGAUCUUGCUUAUCUAGACAAAAACGUUAAGUUUGAGGUUCGGCUUCGAAGUUUGUCUAACACGCAAAUAAUUCUAAAUUUGUCAUAUUUACAUCUGUCACAACCUUCUUAGACAAUUAAAUGAAUUUUAUCAGUGGCGAUUGUAGAAAAGAUAAUGGUGGAGUUGAUAAUUUACGCUUUGGAAAUAUUUAUUCAUAAAGCUAGUUUAUUGUAGGUAGUUAAAUCGUUGUUGCGUUAAAGAAUUUGCAUCCUAUUUGUACUAAUCUAUUCUUGCCCUUUUAUUUCAAUUUAGACGGAAUGUUGACAUUGAAAUCAGAGAAGGGUAAAAUAUUUUAAUUACUUGUUUCCGUAGGUAUCAACAUCACGCAGCCCUAAAGUUGAAGAAGAUGGCUUUGGAAAACAUGAACGCUAUCCGGAAAGUUCCUUUGGCAGUUUUUCUGUGAACGCAAUGGGCAAAUGCGAAUGCCUUGGAGAUGACAAAUUUGAAGAAAGAUCAAAGAUAAAAGUCAAUCUUGGAAGAAAAGCAAAAACUGAUGUAGAAAACCACUCCCCGCCACUACCACCAACUAACAUUUCUUUUAUACUUUACAGCGAGAGUUUUGAGUUCCCGUCCUUGUGGUACAACUUGGCAGUUACGCAUGCGCGUUUAGUAUCAAACUUUUCAAUAAAUUUUUUCUAAGUCUUUUGGCGGGAAGCGUUUGUAUGUAUAAAUUUCACUAGCGUACUCUCUUUUAGAGGCCUUCAAAAAUGACCAGUUUUAAGAAGUCGCAAAAGAAAAAUUUCAAUCCUGGAAGGAAGGGAAAAAUUGAUGUGGGACACCGCCACCUCCCCACCACCGCCACUAACUAGCAUUUCUUUUAUACUUUAUAACAGGGAUUUGGAACUCUCAUCCUCGUGGUACAGUUUACCUUAAUACGCAUGCGUACUAGGUGAGUGUCUCAGUUAUAAGAAGUCUAGUAUACUGUAUGUUGUAACUGUAAGUAACUGACAACAUCGUGUUGGGUAACCCGAACGUUUUAGCUCCGGGUUGCCCCGAAGACACGAAGUUGUCAGACACUUACAGUUACUACAUACAGUAUACUCGACUUCUUUCAACUGAGACACUUACAUAGUAUGCAUGCGUGUUUGAGGUUACUGUUCCACAUCAAUUUUUGCUUUCCCUCCAGGAUUGAAAAUUUUCUUUCUGUCACUCGUCAUUUGUAACGCAUCUGCAAAAGAGUCUUGCAAGGAUAGCUUUCAGUAAACUGACACAAGUUUGUAAAAUUAUAAAAGUAAUUUAUUUUCUGAAAUUGCUACAAACAAAAAUCAAUAAAAGUUAAUAAAACAA